rnacentral:rRNA from 1 species
GGACCUAAGCCGAGGCCGAAAGGCGUAGGUGAUGGACAACUGGUUGAUAUUCCAGUACCACUACCAUCGUUAUUAUCGAUGGCGUGACGCAGGAGGAUAGUGUGUGCUAGCUAUUGGAUGCUAGUCUAAGCGUUUAGGCAGUGAGAGUAGGCAAAUCCGCUCUCAUAAUGCUGAGGCGUGAUGGGGAAGGUUCUACGGAACCGAAGUACAUGAUUCCACGCUGCCAAGAAAAGCGUCUAGAGAGAGAAGUAGUGCCCGUACCGCAAACCGACACAGGUAGGUGAGGAGAGAAUCCUAAGGCCGGCGGAAGAAUUACAGUUAAGGAACUCGGCAAAUUGACCCCGUAAGUUCGCGAGAAGGGGUGCCUACGAGAGUAGGCCGCAGAGAAUAGGCCCAAGCAACUGUUUAGCAAAAACACAGGUCUCUGCUAAAGCGUAAGCUGAUGUAUAGGGGCUGACGCCUGCCCGGUGCUGGAAGGUUAAGGGGAACACUUAGCGCAAGCGAAGGUGUGAACUUAAGCCCCAGUAAACGGCGGCCGUAACUAUAACGGUCCUAAGGUAGCGAAAUUCCUUGUCAGGUAAGUUCUGACCCGCACGAAUGGCGUAAUGACUUGGGCACUGUCUCAACUGUAAAUCCGGCGAAGUUGUAGUGCGAGUGAAGAUGCUCGCUACCCGCGAUUGGACGGAAAGACCCCGUAGAGCUUUACUGUAGCUUAGCAUUGAGUUUUGGUAUUGUCUGUACAGGAUAGGUGGGAGACUAGGAAACCAGGGCGUCAGCCUUGGUGGAGUCAACCUUGGGAUACCACCCUGACAGUACUGAAAUUCUAACUGGCGGCCAUGAAUCUGGUCACAGGACAUUGUUAGGUGGGCAGUUUGACUGGGGCGGUCGCCUCCUAAAAAGUAACGGAGGCGCCCAAAGGUUCCCUCAGAACGGUCGGAAAUCGUUCGAAGAGUGCAAAGGCAGAAGGGAGCCUGACUGCGACACCCACAAGUGGAGCAGGGACGAAAGUCGGGCUUAGUGAUCCGGUGGUACCUCGUGGGAGGGCCAUCGCUCAACGGAUAAAAGCUACCUCGGGGAUAACAGGCUGAUCUCCCCCAAGAGUCCACAUCGACGGGGAGGUUUGGCACCUCGAUGUCGGCUCGUCGCAUCCUGGGGCUGAAGUAGGUCCCAAGGGUUGGGCUGUUCGCCCAUUAAAGCGGCACGCGAGCUGGGUUCAGAACGUCGUGAGACAGUUCGGUCCCUAUCCGUCGCGGGCGUAGGAAAUUUGAGAGGAGCUGUCCUUAGUACGAGAGGACCGGGAUGGACUGACCUCUGGUGUACCAGUUGUUCCGCCAGGAGCACAGCUGGGUAGCUAAGUCGGGAAUGGAUAAACGCUGAAAGCAUCUAAGCGUGAAGCCAACCUCAAGAUGAGAUUUCCCAUAGCGUAAGCUAGUAAGAUCCCUUGAAGAACACAAGGUUGAUAGGUCGGGGGUGUAAGCAUGGUAACAUGUUCAGCUGACCGAUACUAAUAGAUCGAGGGCUUGACCAA